CCCUUUUCCUUCCCAGGGUGUCCCUCCUCUGGCCCCGCCCUGCCUUAGCACUCCAGCUUCAGCGUUGGCUGUCUUGGGGCGCCUCCGCCCAGCUCCUUAGCCUUAACCGGGUGCGGUUGCGGGGAACCACCUGCUUCCUGGAUCCCAGACAGAAUUUUUCUCGUCUGUGUCUCCUUUAAGUCUCAGCCAACCUAGCGAAAAGCUGAUUUCCAAACACCCAGACCAAGCGCUAGGUUUUGGUGGAGUCGGGCUUGGUACCUGUGUAGCUGUGUGGCACUGGGCAGCUCCUCUCUGGGGCCUUGGUUUCCUGUCUAUGGGUACCACCAUUCCUGCACUCGCUCUUCACAGGGUUACGUUUGCAGACGCCCAAAUUGGGGAGGUGAUUCUACACUCAGCAAGCAAGUCAGCGCAGAGCUCGGUCAGAGCUUGGUCUCAGAAUCCACGUACUCUAGCAGGCAUCUCCCCCCUCAGUAGUCUGUGUCACAUGCCCGGUCUCAACUUGUAUCCACUCACUUCUUAACUGGUGUCUGUCCCAGAACACUUGUUUUCCAGCCACUGGGUCCACAUCCAAAUUGUUUCUGAUGAUAUUAAAAAUUGUUUCUGUUGAUAUAGAAGAGACGCUGAUAAGUGUCAUUUUCCUGUUGAUGACAGAAAUAGGGAUCUGCCUCUCAGGGACUCUGUAGCAACCACUUAUCCAAGCUCUCUUCACUAGCGGAGGUCACACAACGAACACACUCAGAUGAGCUCCCUCACAAUUCUCGCAAAGAUCUACUGCAGUAUUUCCAAGGUUUCUAUCCAGCCGUUCCUCCCUAAGCUGGACACCACCUCUGAGAGCCGUCAUCCCGAUUACCCCAGUAUGCGCUGCUCCAGUCUGCACACCGAGGGCGGUGGGCUCCUCCUGGGAGGUUUGGAUUCAAAAGACCCAGAGUGGGGCCCAGAAAUCAGCAUUCAGAGUUUUGCCUCUGUAGAUGUCUGUGCACCGCUUACAUGCCAGGUGCCCUCAAGGCCAGUCUUAAGCACCAUUGGGAGACUGGGAAUCUCGUUUCUCUUUUCUUUU